UUCGGUGGUUAUAGCGGUGGGGAAACACCCGGUCCCAUUCCGAACCCGGUAGUUAAGCCCGCCAGCGCCGAUGGUACUGCACUGGUGACGGUGUGGGAGAGUAGGUCGCCGCCGGAC
rnacentral:rRNA from 2 species